rnacentral:lncRNA from 1 species
GGGGAUCUGCCAGGGCAUGAAGAGAGGGUCUGGAAUCUGCGGAAUCUCGAAGGAUUCACCACCGCCGCCGACCUCAUCGGCGAUCUCGAGAAUGGAGUUCAGAAACCUUAACCGGUCGGCGAGUUCCAUGGUCUGUGCUCUGAGGAUGUCGUUCGCGGCUUCGAUCUCAACGUACGCUUCCUCCUUCGCCUUUAUGCUCUGCGCUAAGCGCACGUUCUCGCCUUGAAGGCGACUCGCUACGUCGGAUAGGUCUUCGAGCAGCUUCUGCUUCUUCAUCCGCGAUCGCCGUGCGGACUCGCGGUUCGACUCCAUCCGCUUCCUCUUUCUCUCGUCCAUCGCAGCCGGAUCUCCUCCUCCCUCCGAAGAUCCCGAACUCGCCGGACGCGGAAUCGAAGCCAUUGGAUUUGUUUGAAUUUGGGGUUUUUGUUAGGAUAGAGAAAUUAGGAUUUUGCAAAUCUGAUUAAUUAGAAAAAAAAUGGGGAAAUUGGAGGAAUUAGGGUAGGGGAUUGAGAGGGAGUUAGUUCAUGAGAAAACGUAGAACCAGU